AACGAACGCUGGCGGCAGGCUUAACACAUGCAAGUCGAGCGCCCCGCAAGGGGAGCGGCAGACGGGUGAGUAACGCGUGGGCAUCUACCCAUCUCUACGGAAUAACGCAUGGAAACGGGUGCUAAUACCGUAUACGUCCUUCGGUAGAAAGAUUUAUCGGAGAUGGAUGAGCCCGCGUUGGAUUAGCUAGUUGGUGGGGUAAAGGCCUACCAAGGCGACGAUCCAUAGCUGGUCUGAGAGGAUGAUCAGCCACACUGGGACUGAGACACGGCCCAGACUCCUACGGGAGGCAGCAGUGGGGAAUAUUGGACAAUGGGCGCAAGCCUGAUCCAGCCAUGCCGCGUGAGUGAUGAAGGCCCUAGGGUUGUAAAGCUCUUUCACCCGUGAAGAUAAUGACGGUAACCGGAGAAGAAGCCCCGGCUAACUUCGUGCCAGCAGCCGCGGUAACAC
rnacentral:rRNA from 1 species